rfam:Cetobacterium somerae ATCC BAA-474 genomic scaffold Scaffold3, whole genome shotgun sequence.
GGACGAGCCUCUGGAGAGACUCUAUGAGCACCGAAGGAGCAAACCCAAAUAUAAUUUGUAUUUGGACUAAACUCUCAGGUAAAAGGACAGAGGAAUUAUG